rnacentral:lncRNA from 1 species
GAUUUCGGCUCCGAAAACAGGUGCGGCAGCAGGUUUUGCUUCCCCAAAAUCGCAGCGAGCAGGCUGACUUCUCACCAAACUCCGGCGACCAACGUCGGUGCAAGCCAUCGAGCUUCGCCACCAACAGAAAGGUAACAUCGUGAGGUUUCUAAUGAUGGGACCUGAUCGUCGAGAUUCUACCCUUAAGACCUCCGUUCAAUUAAUUCUUUGAACGACCAACCGCUGAAAUUCGGGUUCUGGACUGCUCGUCUUCUUCGCCCGAUUCCAGCCACCACCGCGCGUCAUCGUCGGUGAAAUCCAUCACCACAAGGAAGCUGCGUCUCGAGAUUUCCAACGGCACCUCCCAAUCAACGGAAUUAAAUCUCUAAGGGUGUCAGACCUAAACUUGGUUACACCAAACCCUCACUUGGAAACUUGAUAAUUCCGAUUAAUUUAGGUGAUUCCAGCCAAGACUCCGCUAGAGAGAAUGGCGGAGAUAGAGAAAACGUGAGCAAGAGAGAGAGAGAGAAGAGAGGAAGAUAGAGAGAAAGAGAGAGACGGUGAGGUAGAUAGAGAGAAAGAGAGACGGUGAGAGGGUGAGCUGGGGAGGAGAAAAGAAGAAACGUGGCUGCCGAAGGAGCAUUGUGAAUUGACGAUAUACACGUCAAUUCCUAUCUCAAAUAUAAAUUCUGAAAAUUGGCUAUAAGGCCAAAUUGUUUUCUUAAUUACGAAAUAGAUGCCAUAACUUUAGAUAAUUACAAUUCUACACUUCCCAUCAAAUUCGAAAUAUAUUAUAAUUCCAUAUUGACACAUAUCGACUAAAUAAAUUCAAUUAUCCCCAGACUUAAACAACUUACAUAUUUACGGGGUGUUACACUCUUCCCUCCUUAAAAGAAUCUGGUCCCCAGAUUCUCAACUAUUAUUCGACCAUGGAAAUGCAAUUUCCUAAAAUUAUCUUCUUUCUCAUCCGUCGUUUCUUCAACUUGGUGGUUUCUCCAUAAUACCUUCAAAUCUUGUGAUUGAGGAAUUCAUCAUUAAGAUGAAUACACUUACGCGGGUAAUCUAUCUUCAAGUCGUGUCGCUUCAAGGAAGAAUAUCCGAGAUUGAUCGAAAUAGUGUGAGCUUAGUCCUUCAAACCUCUACGAAGUGUUUCCAUGACAAUCUAUAUCUUCCCAAACUUGGUAUUGACUGAAGUAACGAGCCAAAUUACUAUCGUAAUGAAUUCGAAAUUACUUAUUCAAUUCAAAUAUGAGGUAGUACUACGAAAUACUGCUUGUGGAACCUUAAUGUCCGUGGCUCCAUUAGCAAUAUCGUACAGUUCAUUGGUCUCGUACUCGAUGUGGCCUUACCGUUGAGCAAGAUGCUAAAUAUUUAUGAUGUUCUAGAAGUUGAAGGCCGAGAUACGGUUCGUCAACCAAUUAAUGGGACUUGUGGGGUCCAUGUGCUACAAAUGGUCUGAUAAGAGGAAUGAAAGGGUAAUAAGGGUCUGAUAUCGUUCGAAACUUUAAAUCUCUCCCUAGUUAUCCGUGUCACCUUCCUCAAGAGAACGUGUUUCUUCUCCUCCGUUUCGCUCGAAAAUCUGAUGCAAUUAGAAUUAUAUAUCUAGUUCCGCAUUUGCAUAGCUCUUUUGACGAUCUCGUGUAGACUUUAUCUUUAUUUGAUAAGUCGAACUUUACCGUAGCAUUCCCUAUGAACUCCAAUCACCACUCCUUGAAUUUGCUACCAUUGGUUAUCCGCCGCUCGUUUAGUCUAGAACUGCAAGCUUGAUUGACACUUUAUUCCAUCAACACUGCGAAAAUGUUUGUACUCCAGCUCGAUAGAUUCCCAAUUAUCACGAUAAUUUGCGUUAUACGUUUUCAAGGUUCCUUCAAUGUUUCCAGUCAUCCACUCAAACGAGAAGUUAGUUUUGAGAACGUUUCUCGUACCGAGCUGAAAUUUAGUCCCCUAUUGCGGAUAGUUGCUUCCAUAACAACGAGAUGAGUUAUAAUCUAUAUCGAGAUAAUGUGAGUUAGCUACAAGAGAUAGAUUUUGAAUCUGACUCGCAACUACUUUCCCGGUCCACAAAAAUUCUCCUCAUUGGCCUGCCUAAAGUGGAAUCGAAUGCACCACAAUUACAAUCAAAGAGGACGGGCAAGCCUGAUUUACUUAUGGUAUCAACAUUGGACACUAAGAGCUUGAUUAUAGAUGGAGUUCGCAAAGAAAGGUUUUCAAAUAGUAGGUCGACCAGGCAACGGUUGAUACAAUCUUCCGGCGGUUUCGCAACCGCAUGCCUAAUAAAUACUUAUCAUAGAGAAGUCAUGACUCAGAAUAUUCGACAAUUGAGUAGCCUGAAUUCAUUCAAUUCACGAAUAUUUCAACAUAGGUCAACUAGUCUAAUGUCAUUCUUCGACACUAAGUAUGCUCUAAUCGCGUUCGAAACAUUAUACACACUAUGUCUAUCAAUGUCGAUGGUGAAUUACUUCAACCAAACUACAAGACGGGCAAAACUUAUUUAUAGCAAGUUGAACAUGCAAGCCGAAUUCUUGCAGUUGUCGUUCCCAUCUUACAAAGAAAAGUACAAUCCUCUACGGUGUUAUUGACAAAGGUGUUGUACUUUAAACUUCUUCUCCACAUAGCACUUAGCUCUUCAUAUUAAUCGAAUAGAAUUGCAAAAACUGAUAAUCCAAUGUCAAGAUAUAGCUGACUUAUCGGAUACUAGGGACUCUAGAGGUGGCUCAUGCAAGAUUAAGAGGUGGCUCCCGUUGUGUAGCACUUUGUCCCGCAGGUUCAAGAGGUGGCUCCCACAUCGUAGCACUUUGCCCUGCAUAGCACUUAGCUCCUUGUACCCUGACGAUUAGAUACAAGAAUUCAAAAUGCUCAAGAUACUUUAAGAGUCAACAACUCUAUAAACUUUCUAAGUCGUCAUAACUAUAUAACCUUUUUCCGUCGAGUAAGAUAAUCGUCGAAACUAUACCAGGUCGAAUCCAUAAGAUGAUAUAACAAUAGAUGCAUACAACCGUAGUCAUAUUACACGACAUUGCCCAAACAAGGUCCAUACUUUUACCCUGAAUUAACAAUAAUCAUGGCCUAUGAGUGAGAGGGAACAACAGGAAGCGAUAUGAAGAAGUCGAAUCACAAGGUUUCAAAGGAAUAAGAAACCUCACAGAAAAGAAGUCGAAUCACAAGGUUUCAAAGGGAUAAGAAAACUCACAGAAUAGGCUAUCCGAAUAGGCUAUCCCAAAUCAAGAAGUAUUAAAUGAGAUGAGGAAUAUCAAAAGGAACGUAACAAGAAUAUGGAAGCAUUCAAACAAGAUCAAACACCUCACUCAUGAUCAAUAAUGGGAAGGAAGUAAGAUAGUCAAGCAAUAUUGUAUUCAAAGAAUCAGAAACCUGAAAAAGUAGGUAACCGAGAUGCCGAAGUAUUGAAAUGAGAUAAGGCGUUUUGAAAUGAGAUAUGGGAUUUCCACUGUGAUCAAUAAUAACAAUGGAACAAUGCAUAUACAAGAAUCGAAUUUUGAGGCUAAAAUAACAAGAACCUCAAAAUAGGUAGAAAGAUUGACCCGAUAUCAUAAUCAUAACAAUGGUAUAGCCAAAUCAAACGAGAAUAGGGACCUCAAAGGUACUUGAACAAAAUCACGAGAUAUUCAAGGAAAUUGGAACACUGAAAAAUGUAGAAGUAUAGAUUAAGUAAAGCAAUAUUCAAGAAAAUAAAAGUCUCGACAAAUAGAUUAGCCGAAACUAUAGAGUGUUCAAAGAGAUACAAAACCUCACAAUAGAUGAUCAAAGCUGAUGGUAAUAGAAUAAAGUAAGAAGCCUCAGAAGAACAUGACCAAAGUCAUGACGUAUUCAAAAUAAAUGGAACACUAAAGAUGAAGUGAACUGAAUAAGAAGUCUCGGCAAAUAGAUAAGCCGAAACCAUAGAAUAUUUACAAAGGAUAGAAGAUGGAGAUGGUAGCACAAUAAGGUAAGGGCUUAAAAAAAGGGAUAAUCCAAACCAUGCGGAAUUUGAAGGGGUACGAAACCUCAUAAAAUCGGUAACUAAGACUAUGAGGUAUUAAAAGAAGAUAAGAGAAUCGAUUACGAUCAACAAAUGAAAUUAGACAAUAUAGGCCAACGAAUCAAAAUUGAAUUCAUUGGAAUGAUAAGGAGUGAACAAAAGAACUCCCGAAUAUUUGGUUCACCGUAAAUCAAUACUCAAAACGAGAUAAUAUGGUUUCGAUAAGGAAGUCAAGUUAUGAAGUAAAAACGAAUGGGACGUCUACAAGAAAAGGUGUUACCAAAUUCAAGUGAAACUAGGAAACUCACUCGAGAUAAACAACAUCGGAGAAUUGGAAGCCAACUGAAGUAACCAAAAGAACCAAGAAUCUCAAACUGCGUCUCAGUUCGUGUAUGAUAAAUAUUUCUACAGGGUAUUCCUCACUAUCUAUAUCCGUAAUAGAGUUAAAGUAUUAUCUCAAUGCCUCUAAUACUCGAUUAUCACCAAUCUUCUCAAUUCCCCAAGAUUCAAUUCAUAGCUCUACAAUUCUCAAAGAUCCCUUUUCACCAUCGCUCGGGCAUCCAACCCAAAGCUUUACCAACCCAAAGCUCUGAUACCACCUGUAGCGCCCCGCCCCGAGUAGCAGGCACCUCGUGGCGGAACACCACUCAACAUGCAGUACAUUCAAUGACCCCAAAUAUGCUCCUCCAAAUUUCGAUGAUCAAAACAUUAAACCCCAAUAUCUAUACCAUCUUGUUUACAAAAGGGGAUUCUAUUACAAGUCGACUUCGACACUACUUACUCAAUUACAAAAUUCUCGAUCAAAGGAUUCCUAUACGGAACAUAAAUAGAGAUGCCUCUCGACGAGACUAAUCGGAGGCAUACACGAGCUUUAACUCUCAGUAUGAAAAUUUAGGUCUAAGUCUUUCUUUUACCUGCGCAUUAAUAUCAGAAAGGAGAAACGAAUAAGUCCGAAUGACUUAGUGAAAAACAUAUGAUCCAUGAGUAUGAUGAGAAUCAACAGAACAGAACAUAUAACGAGAGACUUUACAAGAAUUUCAUUAACAAAAGUGUAACAUGUACAAGAGUGUAACAUGUACGGCUUGAGUUCAAUAUUUGGUGGGGUUUCCAACCUUGUAACUCCCAACAAAUAAAAUCAUAUCACAUCCUUAUCCCUCCAAUCCGUCCCGAGUGGCCACUCGGUCGGAAACAGGCAAGAGGCACGACCGGAACGUGCCGAUCCGGCUCAGGAACGUUUAACUCCAAACGAACGUGAGUCCGAACCAUCAGGAGGUACCAUUCGGGAGACCAGUCAUCGUCAGCCCAAUACUGCCCGAUCGUCUUGCCGAAAUGGUCCUAGGGCCCAGCUCCCCCAAGAGCGUCCUCAAGGGUGGGGACAGUAGGUUCAAGAAUCAAUAUUAUUCCUUUUAGGAAUAUCAAGUCAUUCAUUUCAAGAAUCAAGUCAAUCAUUCACAAGAUAAGUCACGAUCAUGAUAAUUGAAUAUCAAGUCUCAGGAUAAUGAACAUGUUCAGAUUUCAAUUCAAGCCAAUGAAGAAUUGUCGUGAAUAUGGAAUUCAAGAACAACAAUAAGUUCCAUAUCAGGUUCCAAGAACGAGUAUAUCAAGAUCUCGAUAUAUUCAAUAAACAUGAGAUUCAAGUUCGAGCCAACAAAAUAUUUAUUCUCGGAAGGCAUUCAAGACAAGAUUUUGAGAAUAAAUAUUAUUCAAUAUCGAUUCAAGGAAAAUGUUCAGGCCAGGGAAUCAAGUAUAGGAAUUAGCCGUGAACAUAGCAACCAAAAGAAUUGACAAGUUCAAGAUUUCAAGAACAAGAUCAAGGUUCCAAGUUCGAGCCAAGAAAACAAUAUGCUCGCAAAACAUUAAGGAUCAUAUUUCAAGAACAAAUAUAAUCAAGGUAUCGAAGGCUUCAAUAUAUACAAAAUAUUCGGUUCAAACAAAGGAGAUAUUAAGCGCAGGAAAGAAAUCGGAUAAGGAGUCAUAGUUUCUCACCUGGAGUCCAACGCUAGUGCUAUAGAAGUGCUAUAGAAGCAUCUUUAAGCUUAAACCUUGAGUCAGAGCUUUACUACGCUCAACACCUAUGCAAAUAUUAGAACUAAAUAAGAUUCCAAACAGUAAUAUAGCCAUAUUACCAUCCACUAUAUGACAUAGUCAAUUUCUUAAACAUAUACUAAGAAUUGCUUCUCGCGACAAUUUAUUCAAAUAAUCACUGCGAUCGUCGUACUUAUCCGAAUGACCUAAAUGAUAUAUAAAGUUAAAGAUAACAUCUGUAUCUACAAGUUUACUGAAGACUUUAAUCCCAAAUUAACAACAUAACCCGUCAAUAACAAUCCCGAAAGAUGAAUACAUAAACCUGCCAGAUUUUCGGAUAAUUUCGUUUGUUGUCACAGUUUCGUUGGAAAAUCAUAACAAAUCGUACAGUUAUCCAAAUUGUCCAAAUAAUACAUCAAAUGAAACCUGGAAGUUUAAUCUACAAGUUUCGUGAAGACACACAGCCUAAAUUCUGACCCGAACAUAUCGAAAACAGUCCCGCAAGAAGGUACUCAAAACUGCCCUGUUUCCGGCAGAUUACUGUCAUCGGAUUCGGACCUCUAAAACAUGCAUAUUACAUACUCUAAUUCGAUACAAUUGAACACUUACUUAUAGUUUACGAUGUCCUCUACGAGUUUCCUGAAGGAACCGAUUCCAAAUUCGCAUUCGAAACCCUUCGAUUUCGGCUCCGAAAACAGGUGCGGCAGCAGGUUUUGCUUCCCCAAAAUCGCAGCGAGCAGGCUGACUUCUCACCAAACUCCGGCGACCAACGUCGGUGCAAGCCAUCGAGCUUCGCCACCAACAGAAAGGUAACAUCGUGAGGUUUCUAAUGAUGGGACCUGAUCGUCGAGAUUCUACCCUUAAGACCUCCGUUCAAUUAAUUCUUUGAACGACCAACCGCUGAAAUUCGGGUUCUGGACUGCUCGUCUUCUUCGCCCGAUUCCAGCCACCACCGCGCGUCAUCGUCGGUGAAAUCCAUCACCACAAGGAAGCUGCGUCUCGAGAUUUCCAACGGCACCUCCCAAUCAACGGAAUUAAAUCUCUAAGGGUGUCAGACCUAAACUUGGUUACACCAAACCCUCACUUGGAAACUUGAUAAUUCCGAUUAAUUUAGGUGAUUCCAGCCAAGACUCUGCUAGAGAGAAUGGCGGAGAUAGAGAAAACGUGAGCAAGAGAGAGAGAGAGAAGAGAGGAAGAUAGACAGAAAGAGAGAGACGGUGAGGUAGAUAGAGAGAAAGAGAGACGGUGAGAGGGUGAGCUGGGGAGGAGAAAAGAAG